CCUACGGGAGGCAGCAGUGAGGAAUAUUGGUCAAUGGGCGCGAGCCUGAACCAGCCAAGUAGCGUGAAGGAUGAAGGCCCUACGGGUGGUAAACUUCGUUAAUAAAGGAAUAAAGUGAGGCAGGUGAGCAUGUUUGUAUGGACGUUAUGAAUAAGGAAAGGCUACCUCCGUGCCCGCAGCCGCGGUCAUACGGCGGAUCCGAGCGUUAUGCGGAUUUAGUGGGUUUAAAGGGAGCGUAGAGGGGUUGUUAAGUCAGUUGUGACAGUUUGCGGCUCACCCGUAAAAUGGCCAUUGAUACGGGCAGCCUUGAGUACAUUUGCGGUAGGCGGCAUUCGUGGUGUAGCCGU
rnacentral:rRNA from 1 species